UUAGAGUUUGAUCCUGGCUCAGGAUGAACGCUAGCGGCAGGCCUAAUACAUGCAAGUCGUACGGGAUUGUUUCUUAGCUUGCUAGGGGGCAUGAGAGUGGCGCACGGGUGCGUAACGCGUGAGCAACCUGCCCAUGUCAGGGGGAUAGCCCGUUGAAAGACGGAUUAACACCGCAUGAAGAUAUUUUCCGGCAUCGGGAGAUAUCCAAAUAUUUAUAGGACAUGGAUGGGCUCGCGUGGCAUUAGCUGGUUGGUGCGGUAACGGCGCACCAAGGCGAUGAUGCCUAGGGGCUCUGAGAGGAGAAUCCCCCACACUGGUACUGAGACACGGACCAGACUCCUACGGGAGGCAGCAGUAGGGAAUAUUGGUCAAUGGGCGGAAGCCUGAACCAGCCAUGCCGCGUGCGGGAGGAAGGCCCUACGGGUCGUAAACCGCUUUUAUACGGGAACAACCACACGUACGAGUACGUGUCUGAGUGUACCGUAGGAAUAAGGAUCGGCUAACUCCGUGCCAGCAGCCGCGGUAAUACGGAGGAUCCGAGCGUUAUCCGGAAUUAUUGGGUUUAAAGGGUGCGUAGGCGGCAUUUUAAGUCAGGGGUGAAAUACAGCGGCUCAACCGUUGCAGUGCCCUUGAUACUGAAGUGCUUGAAUGUGGUCGAAGUAGGCGGAACGGGACAAGUAGCGGUGAAAUGCAUAGAUAUGUCCCAGAACCCCGAUUGCGAAGGCAGCUUCCUAGUCCAUUAUUGACGCUGAUGCACGAAAGCGUGGGGAUCGAACAGGAUUAGAUACCCUGGUAGUCCACGCCCUAAACGAUGAUGACUCGAUGUUAGCGAUAUACAGUUAGCGUCCAAGCGAAAGCGUUAAGUCAUCCACCCUGGGGAGUACGGUCGCAAGACUGAACUCAAGGGAAUUUGACGGGGGGCCGCACAAGCGGGAGGAGCAUGUGUUUAAUUUCGAUGAUACGCGAAGGAACUUAACCGGCUUGAAGUUAGCGACGUACGAGACGGUACCUCCCUUCGGGGCGCGAAACUAGGUGCUGCAUGGCUGUCGUCAGCUCAUGCCGUGAGGUGUUGGGUUAAGUCCCGCAACGAGCGCAACCCCUAUGUUUAGUUGCCAGCGCGUAAUGGCGGGGACUCUAAACAGACUGCCUGUGCAAACAGUGAGGAAGGCGGGGACGACGUCAAGUCAUCAUGGCCCUUACGUCCGGGGCUACACACGUGCUACAAUGGGCGGUACAGCGGGCAGCUACCUGGCAACAGGAUGCGAAUCUCCCAAAGCCGCCCACAGUUCGGAUCGGGGCCUGCAACUCGGCCCCGUGAAGCUGGAUUCGCUAGUAAUCGCGUAUCAGCAAUGACGCGGUGAAUACGUUCCCGGGCCUUGUACACACCGCCCGUCAAGCCAUGAAAGCCGGGGUGCCUAAAGCAUGUAACCGCAAGGAGCGUGUUAGGGCAAUACUGGUAAUUGGGGCUAAGUCGUAACAAGGUAACC
rnacentral:rRNA from 1 species